rnacentral:lncRNA from 1 species
UGCCCACCUCUAAAUGUAACAUCUCUCGCCCGCAUCUGACGCCGGGACGGGGUUCGAGGUGCUACCUAACUUUUACUAACACUUCUAUACUAAACAGGGCCAUGAAAUCUCAAAUAAUUAAAAUGAAUUUAUAAUCCCAUAAUCAAAAUAGGCCAACACAUAUGGUCAAAGCCAUAUCACAUACUCUAAUAUUUAAACUCCUAUACAUGCCAUAGACUCAAAGUACUUGAAAUCACUACACCAAUAGCAUUAGCUUGACAGUGUGAUAAUGUCUCCGACGAACUCCAACCCGAACAAACCUGGAAACCCUAGAGAACAUGGAAAAGAAGGGGGUAAGCUUUCGCUUAGUAAGUUCAUAUGAAAACAAUAAGCAACUCGUUAACUUAUUUUAUCAAUGUUUACAACAUAUUCUCAAGUUUACGAGAAGCUAUCUUCCUGCACAACAGUCACUAAAUUAUUUAUAUCUAGAGCUACGAAACUCCGAAUUAAGUUCCACAAAUUUUCCCUGAAAUUAGACUCAUUUAUCUUUCUUCCAUAAAAUUUUCAAAAUUUUUGGUUGAGCCAUUUAGUACAGUUUAUUAAUUAAAGUAUUUCAUGUUUCAAGGUAUGACUACUCUGACCCCUGUACACUACGAACCAAAUUUCUCCCUGUACAGAAUUCCAAUGACCAUGCCGUUUGUUUCCUGUAAAAAUAGACUCAUUAAGAUUUAAUCUCAUAUUUUGUUCUAUCUCUAACUCAUUUUCCACUAUUUUUAGUGUAUUUUCAAAGUUUCACUACUGUAGUAACUCAAAUCUGUCAAGGCUAAGUUACUCAUUCAUGAUCAUUGUUCACAAAAUUAAUACAACAUCAUUUCAUCCAUCAUGGUAAGAACACAUAUUAUGCAUCAUAGAUCAUCACAUAUCAAGGCAUUCUCAUAGGCUUAGUAUACAUACUUGCACAACUCGUAACACAUAACUCAAGUGCAUACUCACCAAUGACUUACCUCAUUGGGACCAUCAUCAACUCUUUCCUUGGAUUACCCGUUGAACACUUGGAAUACUAAUUGGAUACUCGGAAAAGCCUUUGCACAUAAGUGCCUCAAUUGUAGCUAAAGCUACCUCAUAUCUCAUGACAUUUCAAUGCUCACUCUCGAGCUAGUCAUCUAAACUCAUAAUUCCUAGUGACAUGUCACUCGUAUCAUAUUCUAUUCCAAAUGUUCAAACGGGAUUUUUCCUCGUCUAUUAAGGCUUUGUCUUAUCAUAUUUCUAUUAAUCACAUACACAUUAAUAUUUGUACAAUUCAUGUAAUGAUAACAUUUAAAUACAUGUAUAACAUGGUAUUGUUUACAUACGAACUUGCCUCAAUACCACAAAGGUAAAAAAAAGACGUAAUUAUCCCUUAAUCGAUUUCUUUCCGUUCUAGGUCCAAAUCUCGAUUUUCAUCAUCUAAAACAUCACAUUCAACUUAUUAAAACAAUGUACUGAUCAAAUUAGUCCAUUGACACACUUGGGCUAUUUUUACAAUUUUGCCCCUAUAUUUUACCAAAAUUACCAAAUGAUCCCUAGGCUCGUAAAAUAAUUUUUAUCACAUUUCUUUACUCCUUGAGUUUAGAUGAACCAUUUUCAUAACUAUAGAAACUCAUAAUUUCAACUAUUUCACACAUUUACAACUCAUUUUACAACUUAGCAAUCUAGCCCUUUUUAAGGUGUUUUCAUGCAAUUUCUUUCACAAAAGUUGUUUAUUAGACAACUAGAACUCAUAAUCUUCCAUAAAAACACAACAAAAAACACAUUUACUCUCAUGGAAAAACCCUAGACUCUUCAUCAUUUUGCACAAUAGUCCCCUCUUAUGAAAGCUCAUGCUUUAGGGGUUACAAAAAAUGUAAAAAUCUUCAAGAAAGACAUUAAAAUCACUUACUUGCUAAGCCUCAAAGUUGCUGAAAAUAUGAAGCUUUCAAAACCCAUUUCUUGGCUGGAAAAAUCCUUGGAGAGAAGAUGAAAAAGGGAUGAUAUCAUCCUAUUUUUUAUUUUAUUACCUAUUUG